UGAGCGCGCAGCUUUUUCUUUGUGCGAGGACUCGUGAAAACGCAUAGACUUAAGGAAGAGACAAGUUUUGGGAUCUCAUAUCGGGAUGUCGAUAUUAUGCCUUUGAGAUGUGAGGAUCCAGUAAGACUGGGUUUAGGGCAAGACCUAGGUUUACUUUUGGACUAAGGCUAUGCGAUGACAAGACAGCUUUCGUUUUGCAUGUUUGCGAUUUCUACCUGAUUUGUACCGAUAUAAAGUCCGCGAAGUGUUAUCGGCUUAUAUGACUUGUCUUGGCAUGAAUCGAGCUACUUCCAAAGGCCGUUUGGAGGUGCUGGCCAAAAUUUUGGAUUUUUUUGUAUAGCGCGCUAUGGUAUCCUUGUCGGAUGUAAGAGAGCCUAUCCUUUGAGGGCGGCUAGUGUCUAUUUAGGACGUUAGGGUUCGUUUGUUGUGAUCAGCAUCAAAGAAGUGAUGCCAUUUUAAAGGCAUUUUACCGUUAGAGGUAUGUUGAUUUUGGAAACAAGAGUGUUGUUUCCAUAAGUGUUGGAAAGACCGUAACUUCAAGCGUGUUGUGACGUCUCGCAGUGCCAGAAGUU
rnacentral:lncRNA from 1 species